rnacentral:rRNA from 1 species
GACGAACGCUGGCGGCGUGCUUAACACAUGCAAGUCGAACGCUGAACCCGCUUCGGUGGGGGAUGAGUGGCGAACGGGUGAGUAACACGUGGGCAACCUGCCCCCGGCUCUGGGAUAACUCCAAGAAAUUGGGGCUAAUACAGGAUGUGACCGCUGGCCGCAUGGUCUGGUGGUGGAAAGGGUUUCCGGCUGGGGAUGGGCCCGCGGCCUAUCAGCUUGUUGGUGGGGUAGUGGCCUACCAAGGCGACGACGGGUAGCCGGCCUGAGAGGGUGACCGGCCACACUGGGACUGAGACACGGCCCAGACUCCUACGGGAGGCAGCAGUGGGGAAUAUUGCGCAAUGGGCGGAAGCCUGACGCAGCGACGCCGCGUGGGGGAUGACGGCCUUCGGGUUGUAAACCUCUUUCAGCAGGGACGAAGCGCAAGUGACGGUACCUGCAGAAGAAGCACCGGCCAACUACGUG